GUCUUUUGUUUUCAUAGUGAUUAUGUUGUUUUCAUAGUUAUUAUGUGUUAUUGUGAUGGACGCGCCCUUUAUUAUGCCACCGCAGCAUCUGCGAUAGUGUGUGUGGGUGUGUGUGUUUGUGUGUUAUAUAGAUUAUAUAGUGACCUUAAAAAAUCUUAUUGUGAAAAACCACUAGUCCAAUUUCAACCAAACUUGGCAGGAUUGAUCCUUGGGUGAAGGGCUUCCAAAGUUGUUCAAAGAAUUUUAUUCCGUGCAGAAAUCUGGUUGCCAUGGCAACCAAAAGGAAUUAUAAGAAUAAAUUUAAAAAAUCUUCUUGUAAAGACCCAAAAGGCCUAGAGCUUAAAUAUUUUGCUUAAGGAAAAGGGUGUGUGUGCAUUCCUCAUUAAUUAGCGUGUGCACAUUGCUUGAUAAUGCUUGAUAUAUAUUUUAAAAUAAAUUUGUCCAUCUCAGACCCGUUUGUAUAGGAAUCAAAACAAUUACAAUACGGAGAUUGCCAAUGAAAAAUUGAGCUGGAAUAUACAAGAUCAGAUUUGAUUGGUCGUCGUUUUUUACCAGCCAAUGAAAUCGUUUGUUGCAUAGUCAUUUGAUGUCAAAAUACAUGUACAAAUACAAUGACAACAACAGUGAAGUGUUUACCGCCUGGUCUGAAAAAGGGUGCAAAAAACAAAUGGAGGUGGGAGUGGUUAGCGGAAAAGGACUCUAAAUGUGAAAAAUGGGAUGCUUGGUUGAAGAAACCAAAUGCAAUGGGCUUUUGUGAAGUCUGUUCCAAAACGAUCAACUAGACAAAUCGAACAGAAAAAGGUGCUUCUUAAUCACGAUGAGCUGAAGAUGAGGACCACUAAAAGAAUCUUAGACCAAGUACUGCCAGGCUCAUCAAAAGCUGUGGACAAAAAGAUUGAAAGUAUGCAAGACCGCAUUGCCAAACAAAGAGCAAUCAUAACUGCCUUUCUUAGUGAACGUUGACUGCCAUUUUCCAUAGCAGGCAAUCUCUAACAUCUUGCCAAACGUUUAGCUGAAGACAAGUCUGCUCUUGAAAAAACUACUCUUUCUCCAACCAGUGCAAUGUACAUAACAACACAUGGUGUAGCCAAAUCUGUUAAGGAUGGAGUGAAGUCAAAAGUGAAAGAUAAGUUAAUAUCUUUGAAUAUGGAUGAGGCAACUAACAAAAAACAAUAACAAAGUAAUCUUUCAGUACUUUGAUGAUGAAACUAGUCAAGUAGUAAUGGAUCAUUUAGGAUUGAAAAUUCAAAAUGUUUCCACAUCUGAAGAAAUUGUCAAGUCAGUUGAAAGUGUGCUACAUUAACAAGUGGAAGACAAUGGAAAAGGAUUAAAUUUAAGAUAUGAAAUUGAAAGUAAAAGAAUGAACAUAAUUUGUUAUGUGGAAUGUGUAUAUAUUGCUUAAAUAGUAUUACUCAGUGAAUUUGUGUAAAUUUUAACAUAUCAGAUUAAUUACAUCUGAAGAUAUAUAAAGCACUUGAGUAUGUAUCUGAACCUUUUUUGAACUUUUAAAUUCACUAAAUUGCAAAAGCUUCUGAGGGCCUCCAGCCCCCUGAACCCCUAGCCAGGGCGUUGCCAUGGUUCCACCGGGGGCCCUAGCGGCCCCCUGACCCCCAACUUUUUCUUUCAGUAUUUUCAGUUUCUGUAACUUUUACCCCUGCAUGUACACAUGUGUUUAUCACCUCAAUAAAUGUAAGUGAAAAUGGAACAAUAAUUAUGGUAAUUAUCCAUGGUGCUAGAAAUACUUAAUUAUCUUUAUCAUGUUAACUAAGCAAGAAGCUUAUAAUUGCCUAACCUUACAAUAGUUAUCAAUUUAAACUUGAAAAUCUACUCUAAAUGACUUCCCAAACAGUAAUUUCUGAAAACAUGAAAAUGAUUCGUGUAGAAAAAUAACACAAGAAAAAACUGAUUUGACUUAUGAAAAUUUU